rnacentral:rRNA from 1 species
GACAGAGGUGCCAAGCGUUAGGCGGAAUCACUGGGCUUAAAGCGUGUGUAGGCGGAAUGGUAAGUACCUUGUGAAAUCCCACGGCUCAACCGUGGAACUGCUUGGUAUACUGCUUUUCUUGAGCCACUUAGGGGCAACCGGAACAAACGGUGGAGCGGUGAAAUGCGUAGAUAUCGGAAGGAACACCUGUGGCGAAAGCGGCUCACUGGACCAUUACUGACGCUGAUGCACGAAAGCUAGGGGAGCAAACAGG